rnacentral:rRNA from 1 species
UACGUAGGCAGCAAGCGUUGUUCGGAGUUACUGGGCGUAAAGGGUGCGUAGGCGGCCUUAUAAGUAUGGUGUGAAAUCUCCCGGCUUAACUGGGAGGGUGCGCUAUAGACUGUGGGGCUAGAGUGUGGGAGAGGAAAGUGGAAUUCCUGGUGUAGCGGUGAAAUGCGUAGAUAUCAGGAGGAACACCGGUGGUGUAAACGGCUUUCUGGACCAUAACUACGCUGAGGCACGAAAAGCGUGGGUAGCAAACAGG